rnacentral:rRNA from 1 species
GACGAACGCUGGCGGCGUGCUUAACACAUGCAAGUCGAGCGGUAAGGCCCUUUCGGGGGUACACGAGCGGCGAACGGGUGAGUAACACGUGGGUGACCUGCCCUUAGCUCUGGGAUAAGCCUGGGAAACUGGGUCUAAUACCGGAUAUGACCUCAUGACGCAUGUUGUGGGGUGGAAAGCCUUGUGCGGCUAGGGAUGGGCCCGCGGCCUAUCAGCUUGUUGGUGGGGUGAUGGCCACCAAGGCGACGACGGGUAGCCGGCCUGAGAGGGCGACCGGCCACACUGGGACUGAGACACGGCCCAGACUCCUACGGGAGGCAGCAGUGGGGAAUCUUGCGCAAUGGGCGAAAGCCUGACGCAGCGACGCCGCGUGAGGGAUGACGGCCU